AGGAUAGAGGUGCGGAAGUCAAGAGUAUCCGGAGUGCAAGGCCGUCGCAGGGCCGUUGCUUCGGAGAAAGGGGCUGCCGCCGAAGGAAAGCAAGCGAAGCUUUUCUGGGCAUGCGGAGAAUAUCCGCCUGACUGUCGCAUUUGCGGAGAGCUAUGGA
rnacentral:ncRNA from 1 species